GAUGAACGCUGGCGGCGUGCCUAAUACAUGCAAGUCGAGCGAACGGACGAGAAGCUUGCUUCUCUGCUGUUAGCGGCGGACGGGUGAGUAACACGUGGAUAACCUACCUAUAAGACUGGGAUAACUUCGGGAAACCGGAGCUAAUACCGGAUCAUAUUUUCAACCGCAUGGUUCAAAAGUGAAAGACGGUCUUGCUGUCACUUAUAGAUGGAUCCGCGCUGCAUUAGCUAGUUGGUAAGGUACCGGCUUACCAAGGCAACGAUGCAUAGCCGACCUGAGAGGGUGAUCGACCACACAAGAGCUAAGACGCGGUCCAGACUCCUGCGGGAGGCAGCAGGGAAUCUUCCGCAAUGGGCGAAAGCCUGACGGAGCAACGCCGCGUGAGUGAUGAAGGUCUUCGGGUCGUAAAACUCUGUUAUUAGGGAAGAACAUAUGUGUAAGUAACUGUGCACAUCUUGACGGUACCUAAUCAGAAAGCCACGGCUAACUACGUG
rnacentral:rRNA from 1 species